GAUGAACAGCUAGCGGCACGCCUAACACAUGCAAGUCAAGGGGCACCACUACGUAUCCAUACUUUGGUGGCGACCGGCGCACGGGUGCGUAACACGUAUGCUUCCUACCUUUCUCACGGGCAUAACACUGACUACAUUGGUACUAAUUCCCCAUAACAUUCAAGAAAGCAUCUUCUUGGGUUAAAAACUCCGGUGGUUAAAAAUGGGCAUGCGUUGUAUUAACUCGUUGGUGAGGUAACGGCUCACCCAGGCAACGAUACAUAGGGGGACUGAGAGGUUAACCCCCCACAUUGGUACUGAGACACGGACCAAACUCCUACGAGAGGCAGCAGUGAGGAAUAUUGGUCAAUGGACGCAAGUCUGAACCAGCCAUGCCGCGUGCAGGAAGACGGCUCUAUGAAUUGUAAACUGCUUUUGUACGAUGGUAAACGCUCCUACGUGUAGGAGUCUGAAAGUAUCGUACAAAUAAAGAUCUGCUAACUCCGUGCCAGCAGCCGCGGUAAUACGGAGGAUUCAAUCGUUAUCCUGAUUUAUUGGGUUUAAAGGGUGCGUAGGCGGUUUGAUAAGUUAUAGGUGAAAUACCCGGGCUCAACUCCUGAACUGCCUCUAAUACUGUUGAACUAGAGAGUAGUUGCGGUAGGCGGAAUGUAUGGUGUAGCGGUGAAAUGCUUAGAGAUCAUACAGAACACCGAUUGCGAAGGCAGCUUACCAAACUAUAUCUGACGUUGAGGCACGAAAGCGUGGGGAGCAAACAGGAUUAGAUACCUUGGUAGUCCACGCAGUAAACGAUGAUAACUCGUUGUCGGCGAUACACAGUCGGUGAGUAAGCGAAAGCGAUAAGUUAUCCACCUGGGGAGUACGUUCGCAAGAAUGAAACUCAAAGGAAUGGACGGGGGCCCGCACAAGCGGAGGAACAUGUGGUUUAAUUCGAUGAUACGCGAGGAACCUUACCCGGGCUUGAAAGUUAGUGACUGACCGUGAAAGCGGUCUUCCCUUCGGGGCACAAAACUAGGUGCUGCAUGGUUGUCGUCAGCUCGUGCCGUGAGGUGUCGGGUUAAGUCCCAUAACGAGCGCAACCCCUACCCUUAGUUGCCAUCAGGUCAAGCUGGGCACUCUGGCGGGACUGCCGGUGUAAGCCGAGAGGAAGGUGGGGAUGACGUCAAAUCAGCACGGCCCUUACGUCCGGGGCUACACACGUGUUACAAUGGUAGGUACAGAGGGCCGCUACCCCGCGAGGGGAUGCCAAUCUCGAAAGCCUAUUUCAGUUCGGAUUGGAGGUUGAAACCCGCCUCCAUGAAGUUGGAUUCGGUUGUAAUCGAGCAUCAGCCAUGGCGCGGUGAAUACGUUCCCGGGCUU
rnacentral:rRNA from 1 species